AGGUGCUUGCACCUUUCAAGUGAGUGGCGAACGGGUGAGUAACACGUGGACAACCUGCCUCAAGGCUGGGGAUAACAUUUGGAAACAGAUGCUAAUACCGAAUAAAACUUAGUGUCGCAUGACACAAAGUUAAAAGGCGCUUCGGCGUCACCUAGAGAUGGAUCCGCGGUGCAUUAGUUAGUUGGUGGGGUAAAGGCCUACCAAGACAAUGAUGCAUAGCCGAGUUGAGAGACUGAUCGGCCACAUUGGGACUGAGACACGGCCCAAACUCCUACGGGAGGCUGCAGUAGGGAAUCUUCCACAAUGGGCGAAAGCCUGAUGGAGCAACGCCGCGUGUGUGAUGAAGGCUUUCGGGUCGUAAAGCACUGUUGUAUGGGAAGAACAGCUAGAAUAGGAAAUGAUUUUAGUUUGACGGUACCAUACCAGAAAGGGACGGCUAAAUACGUGCCAGCAGCCGCGGUAAUACGUAUGUCCCGAGCGUUAUCCGGAUUUAUUGGGCGUAAAGCGAGCGCAGACGGUUUAUUAAGUCUGAUGUGAAAGCCCGGAGCUCAACUCCGGAAUGGCAUUGGAAACUGGUUAACUUGAGUGCAGUAGAGGUAAGUGGAACUCCAUGUGUAGCGGUGGAAUGCGUAGAUAUAUGGAAGAACACCAGUGGCGAAGGCGGCUUACUGGACUGCAACUGACGUUGAGGCUCGAAAGUGUGGGUAGCAAACAGGAUUAGAUACCCUGGUAGUCCACACCGUAAACGAUGAACACUAGGUGUUAGGAGGUUUCCGCCUCUUAGUGCCGAAGCUAACGCAUUAAGUGUUCCGCCUGGGGAGUACGACCGCAAGGUUGAAACUCAAAGGAAUUGACGGGGACCCGCACAAGCGGUGGAGCAUGUGGUUUAAUUCGAAGCAACGCGAAGAACCUUACCAGGUCUUGACAUCCUUUGAAGCUUUUAGAGAUAGAAGUGUUCUCUUCGGAGACAAAGUGACAGGUGGUGCAUGGUCGUCGUCAGCUCGUGUCGUGAGAUGUUGGGUUAAGUCCCGCAACGAGCGCAACCCUUAUUGUUAGUUGCCAGCAUUCAGAUGGGCACUCUAGCGAGACUGCCGGUGACAAACCGGAGGAAGGCGGGGACGACGUCAG
rnacentral:rRNA from 1 species